rnacentral:rRNA from 1 species
UACGUAGGGGUGCAAGCGUUUGUCCGGAAUUAUUGGGCGUAAAGAGCUCGUAGGCGGUCUGUCGCGUCUGCUGUGAAAACUCAGGGCUUAACCCUGAGCUUGCAGUGGGUACGGGCAGACUAGAGUGCGGUAGGGGAGACUGGAAUUCCUGGUGUAGCGGUGAAAUGCGCAGAUAUCAGGAGGAACACCGAUGGCGAAGGCAGAUCUCUGGGCCGUAACUGACGCUGAGGAGCGAAAGCAUGGGGAGCGAACAGG